AUGUACGUGGACGGAAGUAUCCUCAGGCGAUUACGGAGUCGGAGUACAGUACAACCAAAUCAAAAGCGCAUUUAGAUUUAACUUUCAUCUCCUAAAGCUAGGGUUAGGGUUUCAAUCGGAUUCGAUCAGAUCUCUACGAAGAUGGCGAUGAGGAACUUCUACAACGAGAUCAAGGGCAUGAAAGUGAAGGAGGUGCCGGCGCACCUGAAACCGAUGCUGUCCAUCAGUUACCUCAAGAAUGCGUUCAAGAGGGGUUUGGAUAACUACCACGCCAAGUAUAUUGAGACCAACUCCAUCGACCCUCUCUAUCACGUCUGUUUUGGCGGCAUGGCUUUCUCCUACCUAGUCGCUCUUCCCGAGGAGCGCCGUCAUCUCGAGCAUCAACAGCAUGCCCAGGAGCACGGCGGCCACUGAUUCAUUUUCAUUCCGUUUCCUUUCCUUCAAGAUUCUGCAAAGCUUGAGCGGCGACUUCACAAGGGCGAGAACUGAAGUCUGAUGGUUGCUAUUUCUUUCAAUGUAUCAAAAGUACAAGUAUUGAAAGUCCAGUCUUGGAUCAUAAAAAUAAAUUUCUGAAAACCCUUACCAUGCUGACAAUCAAGUUUGCCGGGAUUAUGUGAUAUGAAUGUUGUUCCAUUUGCAAUCAUGAAGACUUAAUUUUUAUAAUAA